rnacentral:rRNA from 1 species
CCUAUAAGACUGGGAUAACUUCGGGAAACCGGGGCUAAUACCGGAUAAUAUUUUGAACCGCAUGGUUCGAUAGUGAAAGACGGUUUCGGCUGUCGCUUAUAGAUGGACCCGCGUCGUAUUAGCUAGUUGGUAAGGUAACGGCUUACCAAGGCGACGAUACGUAGCCGACCUGAGAGGGUGAUCGGCCACACUGGAACUGAGACACGGUCCAGACUCCUACGGGAGGCAGCAGUAGGGAAUCUUCCGCAAUGGGCGAAAGCCUGACGGAGCAACGCCGCGUGAGUGAUGAAGGUCUUCGGAUCGUAAAACUCUGUUGUUAGGGAAGAACAAAUUUGUUAGUAACUGAACAAGUCUUGACGGUACCUAACCAGAAAGCCACGGCUAACUACGUGCCAGCAGCCGCGGUAAUACGUAGGUGGCAAGCGUUAUCCGGAAUUAUUGGGCGUAAAGCGCGCGUAGGCGGUUUCUUAAGUCUGAUGUGAAAGCCCACGGCUCAACCGUGGAGGGUCAUUGGAAACUGGGAAACUUGAGUGCAGAAGAGGAGAGUGGAAUUCCAUGUGUAGCGGUGAAAUGCGCAGAGAUAUGGAGGAACACCAGUGGCGAAGGCGGCUCUCUGGUCUGUAACUGACGCUGAUGUGCGAAAGCGUGGGGAUCAAACAGGAUUAGAUACCCUGGUAGUCCACGCCGUAAACGAUGAGUGCUAAGUGUUAGGGGGUUUCCGCCCCUUAGUGCUGCAGCUAACGCAUUAAGCACUCCGCCUGGGGAGUACGACCGCAAGGUUGAAACUCAAA